rnacentral:rRNA from 1 species
GGGUAGAGUAAUGCGUGACCAACCUGCCCCAUGCUCCAGAAUAGCUCUUGGAAACGGGUGGUAAUGCUGGAUGCUCCAACUUGACGCAUGUCUUGUUGGGAAAGUGUUUAGUGGCAUGGGAUGGGGUCGCGUCCUAUCAGCUUGUAGGCGGGGUAAUGGCCCACCUAGGCUUCGACGGGUAGCCGGCCUGAGAGGGCGGACGGCCACAUUGGGACUGAGAUACGGCCCAGACUCCUACGGGAGGCAGCAGAA